GCCAGCGUAGCUCAGUGGUAGAGCAGCUGAUUCGUAAUCAGCAGGUCAAGGGUCCGACUCCCUUCGCUGGCUCCA
rnacentral:tRNA from 1 species